rnacentral:lncRNA from 1 species
AGUGUAUGACAACUGGAGGUCAUGUGGCAGUCUUGCAUCCUCGACGGAUUGUUCUCCAUAACCAUGUUAGCCCAGCAAGCCGCUGUCCUGCCAGUGGAUAAGAGUGUGACCUGUUCCCCAGAGAAAUACUGACUCAUGGCCCUGCCAGAAGAGAUCCUUGGAGCACUGACAGAUUAACCAGACUGACUGAGAAAACGCCUAUUCAGUCAAGAUUAUGGACUUUGCGAGCAGAAAAAAAAAAACCUUAGUUUGCUGUGGAUUUUCAAAUGAGGUGCAUAACAUACAGUGCCAACUCAUUCCAAGUGGUCAUUGGCAGACCAUUAGCCAGAAAUUGGCUUCUGGUUUUCAUCACUGUGCAUAACUCAAGUUCCCCUUGGGCUCCAUCUGUGCCCCUCACUACAAGUUCUGUUUUAGCAUGGCAACCACUGGAUUAUUUUCAUUAAGUGUGC